AGGAGAAAUCGCAUAGGAGAUCUCGUCAAGGAAUAUCGCAAAUCAGGUGAGCCUUGAUGUGGGGACUUGGGCCGGAGAGGAUUCAGAGUGGCCACGGUGAUCAUCUUUGGGCUUUUAAAUAAGUGUUGGUUUUCAUUUAAUUUCCUUUAAUUAUUAUUUAUUUUUGGGUUGUAAUAAGGCCAAUUUUAACUUUCCUUUUAUUUCUUUUUGGAAUUAUUUUAAUUUUAAUAACUUUAAAAAUUGGUUAAUAA